CAUUUCCCUUCUUCUUCAUUAACAGUGUCAUCCCAUCUCCUCUCUCUCUUCUUCAUUUCUUGCGGUUUUCCCAUGGAUGUUGGGACUUCAUCCACCGUCAUUUUACCUUGGCACUUACAACUGAAGCCACCUUAAAUAAGUGGUCGAUUCAUGGUUGUAAAUAGAGAAGCAGAAAAGAAAAAUUGUGGAGAAUUCUCUCCUCUAACUCUCUCUCUUGCACGCGGACGGCUCCGACUCCAUCGGCGCAGCUUCACUCCGACGCCAUUAACAGGAAAAAGAAUUUGAUAGAGAAGUGACUGAUCUUGAGAUAUUUCAAAGAUGCCAUAGAAAAAACAAAAGAUAUUGGGGAGUUCAUCGACCACAAAUCCAAAAGAAUUAGUGAAGAAUACCUUGCAAAAAUGGAUGGUACUGAUGUUUCUUCCCAGUCUUCAUUCGAUCUCUCAACUUGGUAUGAUAUAACUGGAGAUCCUUCUAAAGAACGCUUAUAUAGAUUUGAAAGUGGCUCGUCAUCUACAAGUGUAAGUUCAGUCAAUUCUACUCUUACACCAUUUGAGGAGAAGCUUAAUGAGUUAACAAAAAUUGUGGAAGAAUUAUCAAGACGACAAGAAGAAAAUAGAAAAUUGCUUCAAACUAUUCUUGAAGAAGCUCGAAAGAGGGAGGAAGAGGCUCAAAAGAGGGCGGCUAACCUACAAGAAUUGGUUCGUAAAUUACUUCAAGUUGUGAGAUACACAAACCAUCAAUUUGUUGGUGGGUCUGGACAGCAAGAGCAACAACAUUCCAAGAAAGAUCAUUAGUUUUUUUUUUUUUUUCCUGUUGAUUGUUUAUGACUUAGUUUAUGUUGAUUUGAGUUGUAUUUUAACUUACUUUUGUUGGUUUGGGAGUGCAAACAUUGAUAUUAUUUGGUAGUAUUUGGAUGA